UACGGAGGGUGCAAGCGUUAUUCGGAUUGACUGGGCGUAAAGCGCGCGUAGGCGGCUCGCUAAGUCUGAUGUGAAAUCCCUGGACUCAAUCCAGGAAGUGCAUUGGAUACUGGCAAGCUAGAGUGCAGGAGAGGAAAGCGGAAUUCCAGGUGUAGAGGUGAAAUUCGUAGAUAUCUGGAGGAACAACAGAGGCGAAGGCGGCUUUCUGGACUGUUACUGACGCUGAGGCGCGAAAGCGUGGGGAGCAAACAGG
rnacentral:rRNA from 1 species